UUGAACGCUAGCGGCAUGCCUUACACAUGCAAGUCGAACGGCAGCACUGGAGCAAUCCUGGUGGCGAGUGGCGAACGGGUGAGUAAUAUAUCGGAACGUGCCCAGUCGUGGGGGAUAACGUAGAGAAAUUUACGCUAAUACCGCAUACGAUCUACGGAUGAAAGCGGGGGAUCGCAAGACCUCGCGCGAUUGGAGCGGCUGAUAUCAGAUUAGGUUGUUGGUGGGGUAAGAGCUCACCAAGCCGACGAUCUGUAGCUGGUUUGAGAGAACGACCAGCCACACUGGGACUGAGACACGGCCCAGACUCCUACGGGAGGCAGCAGUGGGGAAUUUUGGACAAUGGGCGAAAGCCUGAUCCAGCAAUGCCGCGUGCAGGACGAAGGCCUUCGGGUUGUAAACUGCUUUUGUACGGAACGAAACGGCUUUUUCUAAUACAGCAAGCUAAUGACGGUACCGUAAGAAUAAGCACCGGCUAACUACGU
rnacentral:rRNA from 1 species